rnacentral:rRNA from 1 species
CCCACAUGGAAAUUGAGAUACGGUCAGGAUCUCUUACGGGAGCCACCAUUGGGGAUUUUGCCCCAAUGGGGCGAGCCUGAUGCCAGCACCGCCGCGUGAGUGAUGAAGGCCUUCCGGGUUGGUAAAGCUCUGUUAAAUGGGGACGAUAAUGAACGGAUACCCAAGGAGGGAAGCCACGGUUAACUACGUGCCAAGCAGCCGCGGGUAAUACGUAGGUGGCAAGCGUUGUCCGGGAUUUUACUGGGGCGUAAAAGGAUGCGUAGGUGGAUAUGCAAGUCAGAUGUGAAAUACCCGGGCUUAACUCGGGUGCUGCAUUUGAAACUAUAUAUCUAGAGUGCAGGAGAGGUAAGUGGAAUUCCUAGUGUAGCGGUGAAAUGCGUAGAGAUUAGGAAGAACACCAGUGGCGAAGGCGACUUACUGGACUGUAACUGACACUGAGGCAUGAAAGCGUGGGGAGCAAACAGGAUUAGAUACCCUGGUAGUCCACGCCGUAAACGAUGGGCACUCCAUGUAGGGGGUAUCGACUCCCUCUGUGCCGCAGUUAACACAAUAAGUACCCCGCCUGGAGAUCACGGUCGCAAGAUUAAAACUCAAAGGAAUUGACGGGGACCCGCACAAGCAGCGGAGCAUGUGGUUUAAUUCGAAGCAACGCGAAGAACCUUACCUAGACUUGACAUCCCCUGCAUAACCUAGAGAUAGGCGAAGUCCUUCGGGACAGGGUGACAGGU